rnacentral:rRNA from 1 species
UUGACCUCAAAUCAGGUAGGACUACCCGCUGAACUUAAGCAUAUCAAUAAGCGGAGGAAAAGAAACUAACAAGGAUUCCCCUAGUAACUGCGAGUGAAGCGGGAAAAGCUCAAAUUUGAAAUCUGGCAGUCUUUUUUUUCUUCUUUGGCUGUCCGAGUUGUAAUCUAGAGAAGUGCUUACCUGCGCUGGACCAUGUAUAAGUCUCCUGGAAUGGAGCGUCACAGAGGGUGAGAAUCCCGUCUUUGACAUGGACUGCCAGUGUGUUGUGGUGUGCUCUCAAAGAGUCGAGUUGUUUGGGAAUGCAGCUCUAAAUGGGUGGUAAACUCCAUCUAAAGCUAAAUAUUGGCGAGAGACCGAUAGUGAACAAGUACCGUGAGGGAAAGAUGAAAAGGACUUUGGAAAGAGAGUUAAACAGUAUGUGAAAUUGUUGAAAGGGAAACGCUUGAAGUCAUUUAUGUUGACUAGGGAUCAACCUAGCUAUUUUUUUUGCUGGGUGAAUUUCCUUGUCUGACAGGCCAACAUCAGUCUUGACUGCUGGAAAAGAGCGGAGGGAAUGUGGCACCUUUGGGUGUGUUAUAGCCCUUUGUCAUAUGUGGCAGUUGGGACUGAGGGAUGCAGCAUGCCGUGAGGCUGGGUUUUUGACCACGUUCAUGCUUAGGAUGUUGGCUUUUAAUGGCUUCAAUCGACCCGUCUUGAAACACGGACCAAGGAGUCUAACAUGCCUGCGAGUGUUUGGGUGGGGAAAACCCUUGUGCACAAUGAAAGUGAAAGUUGAGAUCCCUGUCAUGGGGAGCAUCGACGCCCGGACCUGAGCUUUUAGCGACGGAUCCGCGGUAGAGCAUGCAUGUUGGGACCCGAAAGAUGGUGAACUAUGCCUGAAUAGGGCAAAGCCAGAGGAAACUCUGGUGGAGGCUCGUAGCGAUUCUGACGUGCAAAUCGAUCGUCAAAUUUGGGUAUAGGGGCGAAAG